CUUACAGUCACAGGCUGGGAGAGUUUUUAGUACAGCAAUGGGAGAAGAGCCCUAAAAUAGGGAGGAGGUUCCACUGUAGUAACGUUCCUGUUCCAUCAGCCCUCACACUGAGUAAAACUACAGAACUUGAUUAAAAAUCUAUUCGCUACAUCAAACAGUCAUAUAAAGAAAAUAAUGAAACCCAAACCAUCAGGAACGGUAUCACUUGAGCAGAGCAUAGGUGCAAGUACCAUCCGUGUUAUAUGCAGAAACAUUCACCUUGACCCCAGGGGGGAUCUGGGCUGAGACUAGAUGACUGAAAUCUCUGGGCGAUGGUGAACACAGAAUUGGGGGCAGCAGAUAUGAAGACGCACUGAGCCACAUGCCGGACGCCCCAAGCGCAGAGAGAGCUUGUGAGCUUCUAGCGGUGGAGACUUGACACACUGUGGGAGAGGAAAAUGAAGUUACUGGACCCACUGAAACGGGACUCAUUGAUCCUCUAGCCCAUGGUGGGCAGUGUGCAUCAGCGGGGUCCUUCACAGUUUUAGAUGCUCCUUCUCUUCAAAUUUCGUGCUCAUCAAAGUACAUAUUUUUUCUGCACUGUAUCAAAGAAUCCUUUGUUUAA
rnacentral:lncRNA from 1 species